rnacentral:tRNA from 2 species
GCCCGCAUGGCUCAGUGGUAGAGCGUGACACUAGUAAUGUCAAGGUCGUCAGUUCAAUUCUGGCUGUGGGCA